rnacentral:rRNA from 1 species
UUCGCAAUGCCCGAAAGGGUGAACGAGCGACGCCGCGUGCGGGAUGAAGGGUUUCGGCUUGUAAACCGCUUUUCUUUGGGAAGAAGGUCUGUCUCGUGCAGAUGGGCUCGACGGUACCAGAGGAAUAAGCCUCGGCUAACUCCGUGCCAGCAGCCGCGGUAAGACGGAGGAGGCAAGCGUUGUUCGGAAUUAUUGGGCGUAAAGGGCGCGUAGGCGGAUCGGUAAGUCUGGCGUGAAAGCCCCCGGCUCAACCGGGGAAGCGGAGCCGAAACGACCGAUCUGGAGGGACGUAGGGGGACCUGGAACUUCCGGUGGAGCGGUGAAAUGCGUUGAGAUCGGAAGGAACGCCCGUGGCGAAAGCGAGGUCCUGGACGUCUGCUGACGCUGAGACGCGAAAGCUAGGGGAGCAAACGGGAUUAGAUACCCUGGUAGUCCUAGCCCUAAACGAUGGGCACUAAGUAGAGGGGUUUU